rnacentral:SRP_RNA from 1 species
GCCGGGCGUGGUGGCGGGCGCCUGUAGUCUCAGCUACUUGGGAGAUGAGCGGGAGAAUGGCGUGAACCCGGGAGGCGGAGCUUGCAGUGAGCCGAGAUCAGGCCACUGCACUCCAGCCUGGGAGCACAGCGAGACUCCGUCCAAAAAAAAAAAAAAAAAAAAAAAAAAAAAGAGAUGGAGUCUCGCUCUGUUGCCCAGGCUGGAGUGCAGUGGCCGGAUCUCAGCUCACUGCAAGCUCCGCCUCCCGGGUCAUGCCAUUCUCCUGCCU